UACGUAGGGGGCAAGCGUUGUCCGGAAUCAUUGGGCGUAAAGAGCGUGUAGGCGGCUUGGUAAGUCCGCUGUGAAAGUCCAGGGCUCAACCCUGGAAUGCCGGUGGAAACUGUCAAGCUUGAGUCCGGAAGAGGCGAGUGGAAUUCCUGGUGUAGCGGUGAAAUGCGCAGAUAUCAGGAGGAACACCAAUGGCGAAGGCAGACUCGCUGGGACGGUACUGACGCUGAGACGCGAAGCGUGGGGAGCA
rnacentral:rRNA from 1 species